CAGUCGAGCGGAACGAGUUAUCUGAUCCUUCUGGGAACGAUAACGGCGUCCAGCGGCGGACGGGUGAGUAAUGCCUACGAAAUUGCCCUGAUGUGGGGGAUAACCAUUGGAAACGAUGGCUAAUACCGCAUAAUACCUACGGGUCAAGAGGGGGACCUUCCGGCCUCUCGCGUCAGGAUAUGCCUAGGUGGGAUUAGCUAGUUGGUGAGGUAAUGGCUCACCAAGGCGACUAUCCCUAGCUGGUCUGAGAGGAUGAUCAGCCACACUGGAACUGAAACACCGUCCAGACUCCUACGGGAGGCAACAUUGGGGAAUAUUGCACAAUGGGCGCAAGCCUGAUGCAGCCAUGCCGCGUGUGUGAAGAAUGCCUUCGGGUUGUAAAGCACUUUCAGUCGUGAGGAAGGUAGUGUAGUUAAUAGCUGCAUUAUUUGACGUUAACGACACAACAAGCACCGGCUAACUCC
rnacentral:rRNA from 1 species